GGUCAGAACUGGCUGAAUGACCAGGUCAUUAAUAUGUAUGGUGAGCUGAUAAUGGAUGCAGUCCCAGACAAAGUUCACUUCUUCAACAGUUUUUUUCAUAGACAGCUGGUAACCAAAGGAUAUAAUGGAGUAAAAAGAUGGACUAAAAAGAUGGAGUCUUGCAGGCGCUAUCUUCGCUCACUGCAACGUCUGCCUCCCGGGUUCAAGCGAUUCUCCUGCUUCAGCCUCCCGUGCAGCUGGGAUUACAGUCACCUGCCACCGUACCCAGCUAAUUCUUGUAUUUUUAAUAGAGACGGGAUUUCACUAUGUUGGCCAGGCUGGUCUCUAACUCCUGACCUCAGGCAGGUGAUCUGCCCGCCUCAGCCUCCCAAAGUGUUGGGAUUACAGGGUAAGCCACCUUGCCCGGCAUUAAACAGUUAUUUAUUGAGUACCUG
rnacentral:sRNA from 1 species